rnacentral:rRNA from 1 species
CAGUAGCCACGGUAAUACGUAGGUGGCAAGCGUUGUCCGGAAUUAUUGGGCGUAAAGCGCGCGCAGGCGGAUCAGUUAGUCUGUCUUAAAAGUUCGGGGCUUAACCCCGUGAUGGGAUGGAAACUGCUGAUCUAGAGUAUCGGAGAGGAAAGUGGAAUUCCUAGUGUAGCGGUGAAAUGCGUUGAGAUCGGAAAGAACACCAACGGCGAAAGCACUCUGCAGGGCCGACACUGACACUGAGAGACGAAAGCUAGGGGAGCAAAUGGGAUUAGAUACCCCCGUAGUCCCUGUCUCUUAUACC